AGUUACUGCCACCCUCUCCCAGGUCUAGAGAGGGGUACCCACGGUGGAGGGAGGUGGGAGGCCGAGACGGCCCCGGGGGUCGGCGGAGACCCAGCGGGAGCAGGGGGAAAUCGGAAGAGCUGGGGGCAUGGAGCGGGCGAGUUUGGAGCGGAAUGAGCCGGGAGCCCUACGUUGUGGAAGGAAGACAACAGUAUAGGACCAUCAGCAGGACCGGACAGAGAGGGGCACCCCUGGCUGUCCUGGAACUUGUAGACCAGGCUGGCCUUGAACUCAGAAAUCCGCCUGCCUCUGACUCCCGAGUGCUGAGAUUAAAGGUGUGCACCACCACACCCGACAAGGAAGCCUGUUUUAAGAAGUGAUUCCAUGGAGGAGUUCUGCGGCGGCUCAGGGCUUGACUAAACAGUGGACCUCAGGGUCCCAUUUCUCUCAGUAGACAAGAGAGGCUAAACCAGGCUGCAGGUGACAGGAAGAAUUGAAUAAACUGAAAGCAAAGGGCAGCCUUCUAAUUACGCUUCGUGGCUAUGUGGACAACCUGGAGAAGUCUGGAAACCUUUCCUCCUCCAUUUUACUACUUGAGGGAGCAGUGGGUGGGAUACUAGAAGCCAGAAGCCCGAAGCCAGCAGUAGAGCUCUGACUGGCUUGUAUGCCUAGAAAGGAAGGGCUCUUCUUUCGCCUCACGGGCACAAAUGGGACCCACGAGCGCCGAUUUCAGACUAUUCUGAUCCCUUCAAAAAGAAAGUUAGGAGUCCAGGCUACUGUGAGUGAAUUUGAUUCUAAUUGUUUCAGAGAAUAUGGAAUAAAAUAUCUCAUUUGCA
rnacentral:lncRNA from 1 species